rnacentral:lncRNA from 1 species
GGAUCCAGCCACCUUUGGUGAAAAGAUCAUACCUUUCCGGUUCUAAUCCCAGUGCUGUGCAAAUGAGUGCUCGAAGAAUCGACUUGUGAGUUGAUAGAGAAGCUGUGUGAAUUGGAAGGGAUGGACAGGGCCGCUAGAGAACGGGAGACGAACACGAAGAGUUUCGUGUAUGCUCACCGCCCGAGUAACUUGGAGGAGCAUCACCAUGAACACUCAUUCAUUGUACUCAAAAAGACCGCAUCACAAACGAAAGGACUUAACCUUUAUUUAAAGGUUUAUUGACUAAGACAAAAUGGAUUAAGUAAUUUAUUAAUUAAAAACAAAUGAAAUUUAAUUAAUUAACACUUCCC